CGGGAAGCGAGCGUACACAGGUGCUGCAUGGCUGUCGUCAGCUCGUGUCGUGAGAUGGUUGGGUUAACGUCCCGACAACGAGCGCCAACCCCUGCAUUCUAGUUGCCAGUCGGGUAAUGGCCGGGCACUCUGGAAGGACUGCCAUCGACAAGAUGGAGGAAGGUGGGGAUGACGUCAAGUCAUCAUGGCCCUUAUGUCCAGGGCGACACACGUGCUACAAUGGCCGGCACAACGGGAAGCGAGUUCGCGAGGACGAGCGGAUCCCUCAAAGCCGGUCGCAGUUCGGAUUGAAGUCUGCAACUCGACUUCAUGAAGCUGGAAUCGCUAGUAAUCGUGGAUCAGCCAAGCCGCGGUGAAUACGUUCCCGGGCCUU
rnacentral:rRNA from 1 species